rnacentral:tRNA from 1 species
ACUGCCUUAGCCCAGUUGGUCGAGCAUCGGAGUACAAAUCCGGAGAUCGCAGGUUCAGAUCCCGCAAACAGUA